UGUAAGGAUUCACACACAUACACACAGUGGACAUGUGAACAUGGGUUUGCUUAUGUGUGUGGUGUUGGGAGGUGUGUGUGUGUGUGUGUGUGCCUGAGAGAGAGAGCACAUUAGGUGUGGAGGGUGUGUGUGUGAAAGGUACAGGGAGACACCCUCUACCCCUCGGGUUGAGGUCUGCCCUCUCUGCUGUUUCUUGUCACAUUCGGUGCCUUUUGAGCAUCUGGCCCAGAACUAAGCAGCUGGUGAGAGGCUUCUAUCGUCUUCCUUUGAGCAAGGCCAGCAAGAAGCAUCCAAGGAAGGAGUGCAAGCUGAUGGGGGCUCAAAGGAAAGCCAGCGAGAGGCCUGGCACAGGGGCAGGAUCCCAGCGUCCAGAUGCAGCUGGAGACACAUGGCGGCCCACCCUAGGAGCCUCCACAUCUGGGGAGAAAUUCUUGGUGUGCCUCUGGCUGGCAAAGAGCAGCGUUCCCUGAGCUGAGCGCAGGGGUGCGUCACCUGGAUCAUGAGGUCAUCCCUCUGCUGGCUCCUCCCACUUCUCCUCAUCUUGGCCUCAGUGGCCCAAGGCCAGCUGACAAGACGACCGAAACCCAGGCCCAGGCCCAGGCCCAGACCCAGGCCCACCCCCAGCUUUUCUCAGCCCCAUGAGCCAUUGGAGCCUACAGACCUGCCCCCUCCCCUCCCACCAGGCCCUCCCUCAAUCUUCCCUGACUGCCCCCGGGAAUGCUACUGCCCCCCGGAUUUCCCAUCUGCCCUCUACUGUGACAGCCGCAACCUCCGAAAGGUCCCUGUCAUCCCACCCCGCAUCCAUUACCUCUAUCUGCAGAACAACUUCAUAACUGAGCUCCCAGUGGAGUCCUU